ensembl:lncRNA PCBP1-AS1 PCBP1 antisense RNA 1
CCUCGUUUGUUCAGGGGCUGCCGGCCAGGGCUUCAGGACGUUUCUGCGGCUUUCCCCGCGCGGCCUGGGCUCCCGCGGCUGCUUUUCGGGCCCAUGGGCGCAGCCACUGCGCCAGGCUCAAGGGGGGCGGCCCCGUCAGGGCCCGCCAUCUUGGAAGGCCUUUUUUGCCGGUUCUUCCCGCUGAGGAAGUGUCGCUCAAGACGCUGGCCUAUGAGUUGUGAUUUCUGCCUUUUCCCCUUCCUCCUUGGGCUAAGCCAGACCAGAAAGGGCCCCGUGCGCAACGUGCUUCACAAUCUCUCAGGGAAAGCGGCUAACGUGGCGCUACUCCGCCUCCCCUGUUCCUUACCCUUGGGGCGGCCGCCAUGUUUCCUGAACACAAAAUGGCGACACGUGGUUAGCAUUCGUCGCCAACGAGAAAUUGGGGUCGGCCCGAAAGCUCUAGAAUGCACCCCUCUUCCUCCCCGGGGCCUUCCACCUCCGCGAGUUUUAUGACUUAAAAAAGCCCACAGGCUGGUCUGAAGGUCGGAGGCCUAAUUUUAACGCGUUUUCCUCCCUUUAAUUUGAAACGGGAACGCGAAUGACUGUAAAAUGUGGGCACAAUAUUUAAUCUCUCGCCUUUUUAAAGCUUAAUAGUGGAUAAUAGGGGGGCAGUAUCAAGGGAUAAUUUGGGUCCCCACAGUACCAAAGCAUUUAGAAACCUCUGUUUAAUUUAAGGAAUGAGAUAAGUUACUGCUUUUCUAGACUUCCUAGCAUGGGCUGUUGUGCUGGAGAGAACGAGAGCUACGAAGAGACUACAGUGCCUCUGACUUUUUCAUAGGACAGUUGGCCGAGGAAGACAAACAUAAAGAUGAAGUGCUUAAUUCAAGGUCACACAAUGUCGGGGAUGGACCUCCAGAUUUCCUUACUGACCUGCAUUAUCUUGUGGAUACCUGAGUGAAUUCCACACCACCCAUUUUAUAGAUGAAACCACUGAGACAUGGAGCAAUUGACUGAGUAGUCACUGCCCCACCCCUGCCUGGAGCCUCACACAUGACUCGCCUCCUCUCAGUGACCACAGGAAAACAAGCUCAGGGCUCCCACUGAUUGUACAUUAUGGUGAGACGUGGUCUUGUAACACAGUGGUUAAGAAUGUGACUUUGGAGCCAGCCUGCUAGGGGCUGAAUUCUGACUCAGCCAUUUACUAACUGUGUGACCUUAGUCUCACUGUUGCUCAGGCUGGAGUGCAAUGGCAUGAUCUCGGCUCAUCACAACCUCUGCUUCCUGGGUUCAAGCGAUUCUCCUGCCUCAGCCUCCCGAGUACCUGGGACUACAGGCACUCGCCACCAUGCCCGGCUGAUUUUUGUAUUUUUAAUAGAGAUGGUUUCACUAUGUUGGCCAGGCUGGUCUCGAACUCCUGACCUUGUGAUCUGCCCACCUCAGCCUCGAAAAGUGCUGGGAUUACAGGCGUGAGCCACUGCGCCCAGCCUUGUAUUUUUUUUCAGUUUGGGUAGCUGUCCCUAAUUCAUUUGUUAAAGGAGAAGCAAGAGCAAGAACCUUUAAUCUGUUCUCCUCUUCCCUAAUUUGAAAGUAGCUUGUUAUUUUGAAUAUCACUUUCUCUGAAAUAGCACAUCUCCAUCUCAGAGAAUGGAUUUAAUGUUUGGAUACAGCCAAAAGUCAUUUCAUUACCAAACCAUGGGGUGAAUAUACCAUGUAAAGCAGUUUGGGAUCAGAACUCACAGUCUGAAUUGUAAGUGAUGAGACUGCUGUCUCUCUGCUACAGCUUCUUGGCUGGCUCUGAAGGCUCUUUGAAGGCAGAUCCUAACAAGGGGACUGCUUUGAAGGGCCAUUGUUCAUUUGGAAUGAUAAAGUCUAUGUUGUUCAAAAAACAAAUGCUUGUAGCAGGUAUUUUUUCACUCCAGACUGAGAAUAUUGGUGGGAUAUUGAUAAGGGGUACUGAAUGGUAAUAAACAUGUGCUCUAGCUCUGUGCUAGUCAGCUUAUUUCAGAACUCUAGUUUGAUUCAGUUUCUUGCCUCUGACUCAAAAUGGAGGGAGAGUGAUUUUUACAUAAGAGAACACACCCACAUAUCCUUUUGGCAGCAGCUACCUGCCAGAGAUGUUGAAGAAGAGUAGCCAACCUUUACACAGCAGAUAUUGUGUGCCAGUCAUAGUCCUAAGUAUAAUACCUUACAUGUAUAAACUUCUUAUAAGGUUGGUGCUCUGUACCGAAUUGAAUAGUAUCCCCCAAAAUUCAUGUUGUCCCAGAACCUAUGAAAGUGAUCUUACUUGAGGGAGGGGGGAGGGGGGAGGGAUAGCAUUAGGAGAUAUACCUAAUGCUAAAUGACGAGUUAAUGGGUGUAGCACACCAGCAUGGCACAUGUAUACAUAUGUAACUAACCUGCACAUUGUGCACAUGUACCCUAAAACUUAAAGUAUAAUAAUAAUAAAAUAAAAAAAAAAAAGAAAGUGAUCUUACUUGGAAAUAAGGUCUUUGCACAUAUGAUCAAGUUGAGAUGAAGUUGUACUGGAAAGUCUGUCUAGUGACUGGUG